rnacentral:rRNA from 1 species
GAUGAACGCUGGCGGCAUGCCUAAUACAUGCAAGUCGAGCGAACGGACGAGAAGCCUGCUUCUCUGAUGUUAGCGGCGGACGGGUGAGUAACACGUGGAUAACCUACCUAUAAGACUGGGAUAACUUCGGGAAACCGGAGCUAAUACCGGAUAAUAUUUUGAACCGCAUGGUUCAAAAGUGAAAGACGGUCUUGCUGUCACUUAUAGAUGGAUCCGCGCUGCAUUAGCUAGUUGGUAAGGUAACGGCUUACCAAGGCAACGAUGCAUAGCCGACCUGAGAGGGUGAUCGGCCACACUGGAACUGAGACACGGUCCAGACUCCUACGGGAGGCAGCAGUAGGGAAUCGUCCGCAAUGGGCGAAAGCCUGACGGAGCAACGCCGCGUGAGUGAUGAAGGUCUUCGGAUCGUAAAACUCUGUUAUUAGGGAAGAACAUAUGUGUAAGUAACUGUGCACAUCUUGACGGUACCUAAUCAGAAAGCCACGGCUAACUACGUG